rnacentral:tRNA from 1 species
CGGGGCGUGGCGCAGCCUGGCAGCGCACCUGCUUUGGGAGCAGGGGGUCGGAGGUUCAAAUCCUCUCGCCCCGACCA